GCACAGCCAUGGUGUGAGAGCAGUGGUUCCUUCUGGCCUUGGAAUCUAUGAAAUCUAUAAGUCCAGGGGGAAAAUAGUUAUUUCUGAUAAACCAUCCAAGGAGCAGAAAUGUGUAUGUGCCUCUGAGAAGCUAAAUGGCGAUGAAGUAGAACUGAACUCCAUUGCAACCAGUCAGCAUGGAGACAUUUACAUAUGUAAUCUGAUUGGCUAAUACUGCUGCAGAAUAUAGCAGGACCUAGUGUAGACAAACAAUGAGAAAAUUCUAGACUUGUCCCAUGAUCCUUUUCAGCCAAUCACAAGACAGGAUUUUAUUCUUCUCUGUAACAAUAAGGUUCCAAACAAGUGGUUGGCAGAGGCACUGUGGGCAUUGCUGUGGGCACAGCCACGGUGUGAGAGCAGUGCUGUACUGUAGGCUCCAGUUUUUGGGGGUAGCAGCUGACCCUUAGCCUGCCACAGCAGCUGGGAGUGGAUCUGUUGUUGCCAACUGAGCCUUUGGUUUGAAGCAAGUCUGAGGGGUGUUGAGCUGUAAGUACCAGUUUCCCUGUGAUUCCAGCUGACCACAAACCAU